rnacentral:rRNA from 1 species
ACGGGAGGCAGCAGUGGGGAAUAUUGCACAAUGGGCGAAAGCCUGAUGCAGCGACGCCGCGUGAGUGAAGAAGUAUUUCGGUAUGUAAAGCUCUAUCAGCAGGGAAGAUAAUAACGGUACCUGACUAAGAAGCCCCGGCUAACUACGUGCCAGCAGCCGCGGUAAUACGUAGGGGGCAAGCGUUAUCCGGAUUUAUUGGGUUUAAAGGGAGCGUAGGCGGCCGGUUAAGUCUGCGGUCAAAUGACAGGGCCCAACCUUGGCAUGCCGUGGAUACUGUCCGGCUUGAGUGCACACAAGGAAGGUGGAAUUCGUCGUGUAGCGGUGAAAUGCUUAGAUAUGACGAAGAACUCCGAUUGCGAAGGCAGCCUUCUGGGGUGUUACUGACGCUGAGGCUCGAAAGUGCGGGAAUCAAACAGGAUUAGAUACCCUGGUA